AUUGAACGCUGGCGGCAGGCCUAACACAUGCAAGUCGAGCGGAUGAAGAGAGCUUGCUCUCUGAUUUAGCGGCGGACGGGUGAGUAAUGCCUAGGAAUCUGCCUGGUAGUGGGGGAUAACGUCCGGAAACGAGCGCUAAUACCGCAUACGUCCUACGGGAGAAAGCAGGGGACCUUCGGGCCUUGCGCCAUCAGAGGAGCCUAGGUCGGAUUAGCUAGUUGGUGAGGUAAUGGCUCACCAAGGCUACGAUCCGUAACUGGUCUGAGAGGAUGAUCAGUCACACUGGAACUGAGACACGGUCCAGACUCCUACGGGAGGCAGCAGUGGGGAAUAUUGGACAAUGGGCGAAAGCCUGAUCCAACCAUGCCGCGUGUGUGAAGAAGGUCUUCGGAUUGUAAAGCACUUUAAGUUGGGAGGAAGGGCAGUAAGUUAAUACCUUGCUGUUUUGACGUUACCGACAGAAUAAGCACCGGCUAACUUCGUGCCAGCAGCCGCGGUAACAC
rnacentral:rRNA from 1 species